UGGAUCCAGACUUUGAUUAUGGCUCAGGAUGAACGCUAGCUACAGGCUUAACACAUGCAAGUCGAGGGGAAACGAUAGAGAAAGCUUGCUUUUUCUAGGCGUCGACCGGCGCACGGGUGAGUAACGCGUAUCCAACCUGCCCACCACUUGGGAAUAACCUUGCGAAAGUAAGACUAAUACCCAAUGAUAUCUCUAGAAGACAUCUGAAGGAGAUUAAAGAUUUAUCGGUGAUGGAUGGGGAUGCGUCUGAUUAGCUUGUUGGCGGGGUAACGGCCCACCAAGGCGACGAUCAGUAGGGGUUCUGAGAGGAAGGUCCCCCACAUUGGAACUGAGACACGGUCCAAACUCCUACGGGAGGCAGCAGUGAGGAAUAUUGGUCAAUGGGCGAGAGCCUGAACCAGCCGAGUAGCGUGCAGGAUGACGGCCCUAUGGGUUGUAAACUGCUUUUAUAAGGGAAUAAAGUGAGCCUCGUGAGGCUUUUUGCAUGUACCUUAUGAAUAAGGACCGGCUAAUUCCGUGCCAGCAGCCGCGGUAAUUCGGAAGGUCCGGGCGUUAUCCGGAUUUAUUGGGUUUAAAGGGAGCGUAGGCCGGAGAUUAAGCGUGUUGUGAAAUGUAGAUGCUCAACAUCUGCACUGCAGCGCGAACUGGUUUCCUUGAGUACGCACAAAGUGGGCGGAAUUCGUGGUGUAGCGGUGAAAUGCUUAGAUAUCACGAAGAACUCCGAUUGCGAAGGCAGCUCACUGGAGCGCAACUGACGCUGAAGCUCGAAAGUGCGGGUAUCGAACAGGAUUAGAUACCCUGGUAGUCCGCACGGUAAACGAUGGAUGCCCGCUGUUGGUCUGAAUAGGUCAGCGGCCAAGCGAAAGCAUUAAGCAUCCCACCUGGGGAGUACGCCGGCAACGGUGCAACUCAAAUGAAUUGA
rnacentral:rRNA from 2 species